CUCCGGUUGAUCCUGCCGGACCCGACUGCUAUCAGAGUGAGAUUAAGCCAUGCGAGUUAACGUAGCAAUACGUGGCGCACGGCUCAGUAACACGUAGUCAACAUGCCCAGAGGACGUGGAUAACCUCGGGAAACUGAGUCUAAACCGCGAUAAGUGAGGAUUUCUGGAAUGGUUCCUGACUAAAAUCUAUAUGGCCUCUGGAUUGGACUGCGGCCGAUCAGGCUGUUGGUGAGGUAAUGGCCCACCAAACCUGUAACCGGUACGGGCUCUGAGAGGAGGAGCCCGGAGAUGGGCACUGAGACAAGGGCCCAGGCCCUAUGGGGCGCAGCAGGCGCGAAACCUCUGCAAUAGGCGAAAGCUUGACAGGGUUACUCUGAGUGAUUUCCGUUAAGGAGAUCUUUUGGCACCUCUAAAAAUGGUGCAGAAUAAGGGGUGGGCAAGUCUGGUGUCAGCCGCCGCGGUAAUACCAGCACCCCGAGUGGUCGGGACGUUUAUUGGGCCUAAAGCAUCCGUAGCCGGUUCUACAAGUCUUCCGUUAAAUCCACCUGCUUAACAGAUGGGCUGCGGAAGAUACUAUAGAGCUAGGAGGCGGGAGAGGCAAGCGGUACUCGAUGGGUAGGGGUAAAAUCCGUUGAUCCAUUGAAGACCACCAGUGGCGAAGGCGGCUUGCCAGAACGCGCUCGACGGUGAGGGAUGAAAGCUGGGGGAGCAAACCGGAUUAGAUACCCGGGUAGUCCCAGCUGUAAACGAUGCAGACUCGGUGAUGAGUUGGCUUAUUGCUAACUCAGUGCCGCAGGGAAGCCGUUAAGUUUGCCGCCUGGGGAGUACGGUCGCAAGACUGAAACUUAAAGGAAUUGGCGGGGGAGCA
rnacentral:rRNA from 1 species